rnacentral:tRNA from 1 species
ACCGCGAUAGCUCAGUCUGUUAGAGCAUCUGCCCGGUAUAUCGGAGGGUCGCCGGAUUCGAUCCGGCUCGCGGCG